rnacentral:tRNA from 1 species
GCCGGCGUAGCUCAGUAGUUAGAGCAUUUGACUUGUAAUCAGAGGGUCGGGGGUUCGAAUCCCUCCAUCGGCU